CUUUUUUGUCCAAGGGCUGCAUGCAGAAAAAUCGAUGGAUGCAAGGGCCACUUUGAAAUUCUUCAACUUUAAUUUAUUGAACAUGCUAAAACUAGUGAUGGGACGAACAACACUGGUGGGUCAGCACUGUGCCGAGUGCACAAGAGUGAAACAUCGUAUGGGUGUGCUUAUCGCUUUAAGAAAAAAAUCAAGUGACCAAUACAGGAAGUGUGUCGUCUGGAUGUGCCGCGCCAAAUUGUGUUUAUAAGGAAACAAACUGUGUCGACAUUUUGUUGGAUGGAGUUUUGCUGUUGCUGUUGGAUUUUUGCUUGCCCUCACCUUGUUCCACUGAUUUCAUGGAUUGUUCCAAGACGUUUCCCCCAGUCUGGAAUAAUUUUGAUCUUUUGAUGCCAAAUAAGGUGAAGUGUCGGCUCUGCUCCACAGACCUAACCUACAUCCAUAGGAGCACUUCGUCAAUGCUGAGGCAUUAUAGAGCUCGGCAUGGCAAUGGAGAAUUGGCAGAUACUCUUGAGUACCCCAGUUCCUAACAAGCAAGCAGUGGAUGAGGCUGUCUGUGGUCAACAGGAUCAUCAAAGACUGUCAGCCACUCACCAUUGUUGAAAAUGAGGGAUUCAGGGAGCUCCUGAAACUCAUCAACUCGCACUUAAAUUUUUAUGCUCACCAUCUUCAUCUGUACCCUGUGAAAGUUUUUUUCUAAGGCAGGCGAACUGGUGUCUAAGAGGGGAAAUCGCAAAGACACUUCACAAACUUUUGUUCCUCAAUAAAAAUGCAUAAAUUAAUCAAUUUUUAGUCUUUUAUUUCGUAUGAUUGAACACUUAAGUUAACAAAAUUCCAUACAUA